CAGGUACUCAUACGGUUGCCCCCAGAUCACUUCCUGGGUGCCAUGCAAUAGUCCCUGAAGUUCAACUGAGUGCAUUAAGCUUCACUCUGGAUGUGUGUCCCUACAAGGCCAGGAAUCGAACCUUAACCCGCUGCACCACAAGAAAACUCCUGCACAGUCUUAUUAACAGUCCCAAGCCAAGAAGUUCUGGACAUGUAGUGCCGUCUUGAUCCCUCACCCUGUUCUGCACAUGACAUCCUUGAGCAGUAAGAUAAGACUCUGGAGUGGCUGGCUUUGGGGCUCCAAGCUAUAGAGAUGCCUCAAGUUGGCAGGAAGGGAAGGGAAGUCUUUGUGCUGUUGAAUACCAAAGCUGGCCUCUAUUACAGCCCUGGAGGAGUGCUUUUUGGAAUGACAUUGGAGACGGCGAGCAGCAUCCUGAAGACGGUCAGAUGUUGACAGAGAGAACUUCCCAUGGUGUCACUGGUGGCCUGGCACAAGGACUCCUACAAAGCUUCCAGCCUGAUUUUCCGGAUCUGAGAAGCUCGGCCAAAUGCUCUACAUGUCGAGGAGCCUCUUCCAUUCAGACGGAGCCUUCCAAUCAAAGGUGACAUCCCACCCGUCUAAACAACAUUUUUUGGUGCUAGACACACAGACCACAGAUGGAAAUUGUCUUUUAGUGUCUUGGAUGGGAACCCCCAGCAGCUCCCAGGGACUGAUGGAAGACAUGAAAAUUCACACUGCAGUCGGCAAAGCAACACUUUACCUUCUGAACGAUGCUCUUAGGUGGGAGAAAUCACAGGCAAAUUCUGACUUAUGGGAGGAAUGGAACCGAACAGGAAGCACAUGUGCCCUCCCACCUCGCCCCCGGAAGGAAAAGCCUUCUUCCAGCCCCCUUGAAGUCGCUUCCUUUUCAAAGGGGCUGGCAUUCCGGACUCCCAUAGGCAGGGAGGGAGGGAAGCUGGGUUACGACUUGAAUCCUGCCAUUUCUCCACUGGAUUCCUAAGAAAGGCUGGACUGAGAAACACAUUUGGCGCUGAUAAGACAGAAAUGCAAUAGCUCUUCUGAGCCCUUGCAUCUUGCAGGGUAACUUGGACCACGCACCCACGCCGUUUUGGCACCUCUGCUAGUCUGACUCAUUUCCUCUACCCAGAGGAGAAACAGGGACCCCUUGGCCAAAGCCUUUACCUUCACAGCCAGGGGAGUCGGCAUGUCUCCAGAUUCUAAGAUGCUUUGGGGACAAACCCCCAAGCCCCUCCCCAGAUGAAGUUCUUUCCUAAUUCUGGGUACAGUCUGAGUUUUAUAUCAGUGCUUGGGUGAAUUCAGUGCCUUCUACAUAAAAAGAAAUUCAACUAAUUUUAGAAUUUAAAAAAAACCAACAACAAGCAAACAAAUACAACCCUCAAUCAAGAACUCCUGCAUCCUCCUCUGCCCUAUGACUCUGCAGGUCCACAGAGCCCCGGGCAAGAGGCCGAGGUGUUCCACCCAUGACGGAACACAGUCGAUUCCAUUUUAUUCGAUGUUUAUUAGCAGACUUUGCUUGAUGAUAUUUACUCACUUGGCAAAGCAGAUAGAAAAGCCGAGCAGAAUUCAGUAGAAAGAAACUGGACCUACCCAAUCCCGUCCCUCAGUGGGGAGCUGUUCAUCCUCUGAGUCACCCAGCUUCCCAGUUACCCCAUGGUUGCAGCUGUCGCCUCCUGGCCCACAUGGGGCUCUGAACCAGGAACCCUUCCCCAGCUAUGAAUUCAUAUAUUGGGCUUAACGGUGACACAAAAUUGAUCCCACGUGCCUCUUUUAAUGGCCUUUUCUCCUUUCUCAAUGGACACUCUACCCUGUGAACGUUCACACCAGACAUGUGUCAUGCUCUCUCUUCCUUUAUGAACUGGAGAGAAGUCAUUUGGACUUGAGUUGGAACAGAUGACACCCCUUGGGGAUGGGAAAAUCCAACCAGAGAUUGCGGCCUUGGUGGCCAAAUUGUCACUUGAUGGACACACUUGUAAUCAUAGGGCUUUCUAUCCGCCAUGCUUUGGGGAGAAUUAAGCCUUGAAGAUUCAAGUCAGACUUCAGCGUUCAAAUCCCAGCACCACUAUGUUAUGUCCAGGGGGCAAGCUACUUAACUUCUGAAAACCUUAGUUACUUCAUUUUAAAAAUAAUUAUAAAAUCAUCCCUGCUGUGAGGAUUAGAUGAGAUCAAGUCUGUUGAGUUCUUGUCAUCCUGUGUGUGGCCAGCGGUAUGUACAGUUCCACAAAUAGGCGCUGGGCUUAUCAUUUUAUUAUCACUAUAUUUCUUUAAUUGUGACAGGAUGCUGCAGAACUCAGUAGCAUUUCCCAGAUUCAACCAGAUUUUACAAAGGACACUUCUCAGUAAUUCUCAUUAUGAUGUUUAAGGUGGUUUCUCUAAGUUUUUGGGAAGAUCUCUCAGUUUUCCUAACACAAAGGAGAUCCUUUUUACAGGCUGGGUCACACACAGAAUCUGCCGGGGUCUGAGCAGAAAUGAGGGGGUGGCUUGGGCUCUCCACACCCUCCACCUCUGGUGUUUUCUGAGUUCUUCUGACCUGCCGAGGGCUCCCCCAGCUCCCGUGCUGCAAAGUCCUGCUGGACGAUGACACCAUCAUCAGCUACACUAACUUCGCCCAUCGCAAGUUUGCCCAAUAGGUCAGAACUCUGGAUUUCACCGCUGAUGGAUAUUGCCAAGUAGGUGGAGUGCGUGAGCUGAAUUGAUUUUGCCCAAGUUAUGGGGAGGGCAAGGGGCAAGAAUGGAUUCUGGAGAAGAGUAAGCUUCAGGCUAUCAAAAAGAGAUGAGUAAACCGUGGUAUAUAGAAGGGAGAAGCAACAAGGCUCUACUGUAGAGCACAGGGACCUAUAUUCAAUAUCCUGUGAUAAACCAUCAUGGAAAAGAACAUGAAACAGAACGUCCCUGUGUAUAACUGAAUCACUUUGCUCUACGGUAGAAAUGAACACAACAGUAUAAAUCAACUAUAGUUCAAUAAAAUGAAUUUAAGGGAGUUCCCGUUAUUGCUCAGUGGUAAUGAACCCAACUAGUAUCCCAUUGGUCCCACUGGUUCCACUCAGUGGGUUAAGGGUCUGGCAUUGCCAUGAGCUGUGGUGUAGGUCGCAAAUACCGUGACUGUGGCAUAGGCCAACAACUACAGCUUUGAUUUAACCCCUAGCCUGGAAAUUGCCAUAUGCCUCUGGUGCAGCCCU
ensembl:lncRNA